GGAAGGAUCAUUCACAAAUUGAUUGAAUCUAAUGCCGGCGUAACUUUUAUCCGGAGUGUACGAGUCUAAGUUUUGGUAUUCGGCUGCCCUUGGCGAAGCCAUAAGUCGUCGAAUAUCAAGAUGAUGUCUUAGUACCGCGAGCAUUUGAUUGAGGCUUCCUUUUUCAAAUGUCGAUGGCGCUUGAUGUAGAGCUAAUAACUUUUGCAUCAUGUGACAAACAUAGUACGGUGUAAUGAAUGGUAACAAGUUCCAUUGCCAUAUAAGUAUUUUUUGGAGUUAAACGCUUUUUGGACCCCCGUAUGGCAAUGAACCGCUUUUUGGGGUUUAUCAUUGAUUACAACGUGCUCUGUCCACAACCUGCACUUGGUUUUUUGGAGUGCAAGUUGUGGGAAAACACAUUGCCGAGUUAAUAUGGCAGAGACACAUUACUGGUUAUUGAGACGCUUUUUGGAUGCUCGAGAAUCGGUAACACUUUUUGGAAAAGUCUUUGCUCUAUCAACUCGGUAUGUGCCCGUGCAUCUACAUUCACAAUAAGUUUUGGAAAUGCUGACGCCAUCUUGUUUUUUUGGAGUGGCGGCGGUCGCUUUUUGGGUUCCAGAUUUAUUGGUAGUUGUUCGCAGCUCCGACGCUUUAUGAAUAUUUUAUGGAUGUUGUUGAGUUUAUAAGACAAAAAGUAUUGGCAAUGGAUCCCUCGGUUCUCGCUUCGAUGAAGAACGCAGCGAAACGCGAUAAUUAUUGCGAAUUGCAGAAUUCAGUGAAUCAUCGAAAUUUCGAACGCAAACGGCGCUGAUUGGUUACGCCUUUCAGCACACAUUAUUCAGUGUCAUUCUAACUCGAAUGGACACACCUCUUAAAGAGGCAACAACUCAAUUGAGGUCGUAUUUUUUGGGAUUUCAUGCAAUGGUGGAUGGACACUUUUUGGGAUUAUCCAUCCGAGAUGGACACUUUUUGGAACUAUCUCAGGUUGGACGCUUUUUGGAAUUAUCCACUACCACCAUUUCAUGAAUGGAAACGCUUUUGGGGGACGCUUAAAUUGGUUGUUGUCGCCUUUCUGAGGUGCGAAAUUCAAAAUUGAAAGCCUUGAUGUGGCAGCCUGUCAUUGAGGAAGCUUUUUUGACAAUUCUUCUCAUUGAAGUAAGACGUUUUUUGGUGCUUUCUUCAAUGAAAGGAAUGAUACGCUUUUUGGAACACUCAAUGAAAGGUUGUUGACUCAAGCCUUUUUAAAUCUGUGAGGCUUCCUCCAUAUGGUUGCUCAUGUGUUAAGCAAUACGAUUUUUUGAAAAACGUUUUUUGGGACUUUGUUAAACACUUGCAUCCAAAUGGAGGGUCCUAAGACUCACAACUGCUUCGUUCCACUUGAACAAAGCAAUUUCAAAACUCGACCUGAGUGAUGUGAGACUACCCGCUGAACUUAAGCAUAUCAGUAAGCGGAGGAAAAGAAAUUAACAAAGAUUCCCUCAGUAACUGCGAGUGAACCGGGAAGAGCUCAUCCCUAAAAUCCCUUUAAUGGGAGUUGUGGGGUUGGAAGGUCUGGUCAGCGUGCGACCCUGGAUUAAGUUUGUUUGGAAAACAGCGGCAUCGAGGGUGAUACCCCGUUUUAAUCUGGGAGCUCGUCGCGUACGAUCGGCUUUUCUAGAGUCGGCUUGCUUGGAAAUGCAGGCUAAAUCAGGUGGUAAAUUCCAUCUAAAGCUAAAUAUAAGCGAGAAACCGAUAGUUCACAAGUACCGUGAGGGAAAGGUGAAAAGCACUUUGAAAAGAGAGUCAAAAGUACGUGAAAUUGUCAAUAUAUAAGGGAUUAGAACCAGUCUAUGGCUCGCUGCCUUUCUCGACUGAAUUGGAUCAUGCUCUUUUCUAUGAUUUCUUUUGAAAUUAGAGUUGGGUAUGUGAAGGUUCUGUUUGGUUUUGCAAGUGGAGCCCGUAGUCAAAAUAGAUUUGGCAGGUGAAAACUGGCGAACCGUAGGUAGAGUUGCUUGCAGCUCGACGAUGGUCAACCAAAGGUCACAGGCCGAAUCGAGGGAAACCGAUUUUGGCGAAAUGGUUCUAAUCCUCCCGUCUUGAAACACGGACCGAGGAGUGUAACGUAUAGGCAAGUCGUAGGGUGUAAAACCCGAAGGCGAAAUGAAAGUGAAGUGAAGUUUACUUUAUCAGGUGUGCAACCAAUUGGUCUCAACACCGCCCGGCCUCUAUUAGAUAGAGGUACGAGGUCGAGCCUAUACGUUACGACCCGAAAGAUGGUGAACUAUAACCUGAGCAGGGUGAAGCCAGGGGAAACUCUGGUGGAAGCUCGCAGCGAUACUGACGUGCAAAUCGUUCGUCAGACUUGGGUAUAGGGGCGAAAGACUAAUCGAACCAUCUAGUAGCUGGUUCCCUC
rnacentral:misc_RNA from 1 species